GGUAGCGGCCGGCAUUGCAGGAGUGGGGGCGAUGUGCCCCAGACUCGCGGGUUGGCCGGCUGGUGGCCUGGAGAGCGCCAGCCCUUUGGGAACCGGCUGGGGGCUCUCAGCCUGCAAAUGAUGAGGAAAUCGUGGUGUGGAUGAGAUCACUCGGGAGGGGCACAGCAACCCACAGUGACUACGUCUGUGAACAGUGACUACGUGUGUGCUAAGUGCCCCACGAAACACUACACCCUUUCAGCCUCAGUAGGACCCUAUGAGAGACUGCUGUCAGUCGUCCCCAGUUUACAGAGGCGCCCUCGGAGGCAGAAAGCAGUUAAGUAGCUUGCCUGAGGCUGCACAGCAUGGAGGGCGAGUUGGGGCCAGGUGGAGUUUGGGGCACGAAGAGGGCAGGGCAGUACCCUGAUGAGGGCCGGGGCAGGGAGGAACAAGUACAAGUCAGGGGGCAGUCCAGCUCUCUUUCACCUGGGAACCCCCGCCCCCCAGGUUCCCGGUCUGACCGCUGACCCAUAACUGCUGAAUGUUGAUGCCCUGCCCUCCUUGCAGGGCAGGGAGACCAUGUCUCAAGAUCACCCUGUCUUAAGAGGGCACAGGAUGUGAACGCAAGGUGCACGGCCCACAGCCUGUGAGACCUCCUGCUUCAAACCUCCAGGAAGGGAAGAGAGCUCUGUGCCUGGCUUUCUUCAAGCCCAAACCAACCUCCCAUCUUGCUUAUUUGUUUGUCUUAAGAGGGAGAGAGAGGAUCCCAAGCAGGCUCUGCGCUGUCAGCUGGGAGCCCGACGUAAGGCUCGAACUCACAAACCCGGAGAUCAUGACCUGAGCCAAAAUCAAGAGGUGGACGUUUAACCGACUGAGCCACCCAGGUGUCCUGAAGAAGCUGUGAUUUAAAUAAUAAGGAUUUCUUGGAGCAGCAAAGGGCCAGAGGCCGACAGGGCUGUGCUUUCUGAGAAUUGUCCAUCUUUGUGCUCUAUAGUCCUCUGGAAGUCCAGAUCUUCCUGGUAUUAAAGAAAACAUGAAAAGCUGGAGGAAACUACCUGGCACCACCUAAUCCUUUCUGUUUAAUAGAGAUUGAAGAUAGUUGGCCAUCUGGAAAAGACACCGGGAAACAGAGGGGACUUUGUCCCUGAGCUGGGCUCUGAGCCUUUAUGAAAUGGGUCCUGAUAUCAAGAAGAAUGUCUUGCUUGAAGCCAGUUUCAUUCGGGGUGAAGUCUGCACUUGAAGUUCCUCUGCUGACCUGACUCUGUGUGCAGGUGGGGCGGGACGGAUGGAGAACCUUGGCCAACAGCCCACCCACCUUGGGUCCCUUUCUGUAACCACGAGGGCUACGUGGAACUACAACUGUAGGUCUUGUGGAAGUGAAAACUGUAGUGGUCCCCACCCCCCAUGUUUAUUUUGGGGCUUCUGGUUUGGGACUCACCUCACCUAUCUGAAGGACUGGCUUGAAGUGGACUUAUUUGGGACCUUUCUUUAGAGAACUCAAAAGCCUUUGUUUGUAGCCAUAUCUUCUUUGAUAAUACCUACUGACAUUAGAAGCAGAGAUAGCUUCAACGACAGUUUUCCACAACUCACGUUUUUUUGUCCCAACCUCUGUGGUCGCUGGCAGAACUGCCCUGAGUUCAGGUCUCAUUCCCAGAAUGUAGCCUGGGUAUAAAAACCUGGGGCCAGGAAGGUCUGAGCCACUGGCGGUUGGACCUGUGGUAUGACCAGAGCUAAAUCGAAACACAGAUAGCAACUGCCCUCCUCACUCCCCCACCCUUUGGAAGAGCAGAAACUGAACUUGAAGCUGCUGAGAGCUAUAAAGAGUGUUUAACUUCUUUUAUUAUUAUUAUUUUAAAGACAGCACACGCGAGUGGGGUAGAGGGGCAAAGGGGGAGAGAGAGAGAGAGAGAGAGAGAGAGAGAGAGAGACAGAAUCCCAAGCAGGCUGCACACUCAGUGCAGAGCCUGACGUGGGGCUUUAUCCCACGACCCUGGGAUCAUGACCGGAACCAAAAUCAAGAGUCAGAUGCUCGGGACGCUUGGGUGGCUCAGUUGGUUAAGCGUCCGACUUCGGCUCAGGUCAUGAUCUCACAGUUCGUGAGUCCGAGCCCCAUGUCGGGCUCUGUGCUGACAGCUUGGAGCCCGGAGCCUGCUUCGUAUUCUGUGUCUCCCUCUCUCUCUGCCCCUCCCCUGUUCAUGCUCUGUCUCUUAAUAAUAAAUAAACGUUAAAAAAAAGAAAAAGAGUUGGAUACUCAUCUGAGCCACCCAG